GUCAUUUCCGGUCAGUAGCGGAAGCAGGAAGUAGCGCAAACAAGAUGGGGACUGGGGAUGACAAGAAGGCGGCCGUUUCUUUACCCAGACACUCCUACUGGUUCGACUUUUGGGUUUUUCUGUUGUUCGACAUCGUUUUUUUUCUCUUCGUGUACUUUGUUGUUCCAUAAACGUUUGCAGAACUCCGGGUGUUAUGGAAGGACCGGAGACUGUGGCUCACCUGCAGAAGAGAUGACGACUUUCUGAUUGCUGGGUCCUGCAUCUGUAGCUUCAGCUGAGCUCCUCCUGCUAACCUGUCACCAGAAGACUGAAAGUGCAGCACCAUGUCCCCGCCAAGUCCAGCGCACCGCAGCUUUAAAACAUAUAACUAACAUUCCAUUACAGUCCCUAAUGCCUCCUCCAGAACACUGAUUAACAUGAAAUAAAACCCGCUAAGUUAUUUUUGUAUAAUUCACCUGUUAAUAAUCAGAUAUCUGUGUGCGUAUGUGUGUGUGUGUGAGCAGAGUGAUGAUCAGAAUGAGUGAGUGAUGGAAUUCACUGAAAAGUCAAUAAAAUUCACUAAGCUAUUUUUCAA